GGAAAUUGAAGGUGUUAAAAUCUUCCAGUGCUGUUCUUCCAUCUCUUUUGCAAAUAUGAAGCACUUCAAAAGCUACUUGUUAAAAAAGAUGGACAUGAAAGCAGUGCCUCUUGACGAAAAUGAAAUGAGGGCUUUAAUUUCAGUUAGUCUGUCUGACACCUCAGUGCAAGGAAAAGAUUUUAAAUGUGCCUGUGUCUGCAAUCAACCUGAACCAACACCUAGGAUACCAUAUACAGAGAAACUGGUGAAACGACAUCAAACAGGGAGUGAUUCCUCAGCAUCUUCAUUUAAUUUGGUGCAUUGGUCAAAGUAUGGAGACAGACCCAGCUCCAGGAUACUCUUGGUGGGAGCAACUCAAGCACAGCCUGCAUCCCCGGGGCUUAAAACGGGCCUGG